rfam:[Oscillatoria] sp. PCC 6506, WGS project CACA01000000 data, contig: Contig111
GUCAACGACCCACCACUAAUCGGAGUACCCAUAUAGUGGGGGCUUGCUCAUAGCCGAGUUGACCAGUCUAAGUCUUAACUGACUACGUUUAAGGUAAGCGUUAAAGACCUACCAGGGAAUGCGAAGCUAGUUCUCUGCUCUAGAACUUAAAAGUUAAACAGGUUUAAGGGUUAAACCAGUGCUUUUGAGAUAGUUACCGACCUUAAACAUUGACGAAGCUAACAUUAC